rnacentral:rRNA from 1 species
UACAGAGGUCUCGAGCGUUAGUCGGAUUCAUUGGGCUUAAAGCGUACGUAGGCGGAUAUGCAGGCGUCGUGUGAAAGCCCUCGGCUCAACCGAGGAAUUGCACGGCGAACCGCAUGUCUUGAGAUCGGUAGGGGCUGUCGGAACGAUAGGUGGAGUGGUGAAAUGCGUUGAUAUCUAUCGGAACGCCGAAGGUGAAGACAGGCAGCUGGGCCGAUUCUGACGCUGAGGUACGAAAGCGUGGGGAGCAAACGGG